ACCAUCCUGUGACGUGUUUCCAUCAGCAGGGGACGGACGUGCGGAGUUUUCCUGUAAACAUAAGUGCAAAGAAACACGCAAAUGGAGACCUUGCACAUCCAGCUGGACGAUAGACGUACGACACGUGCAAGUUACGCAGUCAUCGGUUAAGAGUGCGACCGAAGAGACGACGCAACAGACGGCAGUACUGGUGACGCGGGAGUGCGGGAGUGAAAGUAACUGCUUCUGGGAUUGUACCGGGAAUCAUCUUUCACCUGUGCUCAUUAACUUGGCAACCCUAAUUAGCAGUCAUGUCGCCGCGCACCUUCCUUCACUACAGGAAAAAAAAAGCGAGCACAGCGCUGCCUCGCUGACGUCUGUGUGCGUGUGCGCACGAGCGUUACUCAUCAGUGCUGCAGAGAGCUGGUGAGAGAGAGAGAGAGAGAGAGAGAGAGAAAGAAAGGGAGGAGGGGAAGAGAAAUCUGCCGUGCUAAGUGCUUUCUCUCUCUCUCUCUCUCUCUCCUUGUCGCGAUGUUGCUGCUGGUCUUAAAUAUUUCAGGACGAUGCUGGAGGAAGAGGAGUUACAAAAGGGAAACAGGGAGGAAGAGAGAUCUGAAGAUAAAGGAAGAGGAACUAAAACAAGGAAAGAGAGGAAGGAGAAAUAACUGGAUCGUCCCAAUUUGUUUACUCGAACACUACAGUACAGGCCGUGGGCUCCGACGGAGAAAAGGGAGUACUCCUGCCCUCACUUCCUAAGGAUCAACCGUACUGCUUGGACAGUUCGGUCUAGAAAGGCUCCUCCAUAGCAAGUAGUACUUUCUCUUCUACCACAUCGAUUGUUCCACACCUGUAUGGGACCACAAAAUGGACCAGACACCUUGAACUUGCCAGUGCAUAUACGUCGUGCAACACUGCCGCCACUGUGUCCAUAAUAAGUGACUCUCCCUGCCCUCGUCCUGCCCAGUACCAGGUCAGGUCAUCCAUACCUAGUCACUUAGAACUGGAGCAGCAACAUCGUGAAUAGUAGCUACAACCAACACCACCACAAUCACCAUCAAGCUAGUGUGAAUCCAGACAUUGACAUGUAAUGGAGAUUCUCUCUCUCUCUCUCUCUCUCUCUCUCUCUCUCUCUCUCUCUCUCUCUCUCUCUCUCUCUCUCUCUCUCUCUCAGCUCACAGCCCCACAGUAUGUCCCCCCACAGUAUGUUGACUUACCCACAGUCACUUCACCACAGUCCCUCCCAAAUAAAGCCAACCCUCUCUCUCUCUCUCUCUCUCUCUCUCUCUCUCUCUCUCUCUCUCUCUCUCUCUCUCUCUCUCUCUCUCUCUCUCUCUCUCUCUCUCUCUCUCUCUCUCUCUCUCUCAACUCACAGCCCCACAGUAUGUCCCCCCACAGUAUGUUGACUUCUGUCUUAUUGCUACCUUUUUUUAAUGUAUCUUCUCUUUCUCCCCUUUCUGUCGUAUUGCUACCUUUAUUUAAUGUAUAUGU
rnacentral:lncRNA from 1 species